rnacentral:sRNA from 1 species
UAUCUUAUCACUCGCAACAAACCGAUGACC